rnacentral:rRNA from 1 species
CAGCCGCCGCGGGAAUACAGAGGGUGCGAGCGUUAAUCGGAUUUACUGGGCGUAAAGCGUGCGUAGGCGGCUUUUUAAGUCGUAUGUGAAAUCCCUGAGCUUAACUUAGGAAUUGCAUUCGAUACUGGGAAGCUAGAGUAUGGGAGAGGAUGGUAGAAUUCCAGGUGUAGCGGUGAAAUGCGUAGAGAUCUGGAGGAAUACCGAUGGCGAAGGCAGCCAUCUGGCCUAAUACUGACGCUGAGGUACGAAAGCAUGGGGAGCAAACAGGAUUAGAUACCCCUGUAGUCCCUGUCUCUUAUAC